rnacentral:tRNA from 1 species
AUUUAAAUAGUUUAAUUAAAAUGCUGGCUUGUGGAGUCAGGGAUAUACCUUUGUAUUUUAAAUA